rnacentral:rRNA from 1 species
UUACGCUGUUAUCCCUAAGGUAAUUUAGUCUUAUAAUCAAUAUAAAUGGAUCAAAUACAUAUAAAUAAAUAUAAAAUAAAUAAAAAGAGUUAAUUAAAUCUUUCCAUCACCCCAACAAAAUAAAUUUUUACAUUAGAAAUUUUCAUACAAAAAAAAAUAAAAAUAUAUAUAAACUCUAUAGGGUCUUCUCGUCCCAAAAAAACAUUUAGGCAUUUUAACCUAAAAUUUAAGUUCAAAAAAAAAAUAAAGACAGUUAACACCUCGUCAAACCAUUCAUUCCAGCCUACAAUUAAAAGACUAAUGAUUAUGCUACCUUUGCACGGUCAAAAUACCGCGGCCCUUCAAUAUUCAGUGGGCAGGCCAUACAUCAAAAUAUAUUCAAGAAGAGAUGUUUUUGAUAAACAGGCG